GCUCAGAUUGAACGCUGGCGGCAGGCCUAACACAUGCAAGUCGGACGGUAACAGGAAGCAGCUUGCUGCUUUGCUGACGAGUGGCGGACGGGUGAGUAAUGUCUGGGAAACUGCCCGAUGGAGGGGGAUAACUACUGGAAACGGUAGCUAAUACCGCAUAACGUCGCAAGACCAAAGAGGGGGACCUUCGGGCCUCUUGCCAUCGGAUGUGCCCAGAUGGGAUUAGCUUGUUGGUGAGGUAACGGCUCACCAAGGCGACGAUCCCUAGCUGGUCUGAGAGGAUGACCAGCCACACUGGAACUGAGACACGGUCCAGACUCCUACGGGAGGCAGCAGUGGGGAAUAUUGCACAAUGGGCGCAAGCCUGAUGCAGCCAUGCCGCGUGUAUGAAGAAGGCCUUCGGGUUGUAAAGUACUUUCAGCGGGGAGGAAGGGGAUGUGGUUAAUAACCACAUUCAUUGACGUUACCCGCAGAAGAAGCACCGGCUAACUCCGUGCCAGCAGCCGCGGUAAUACGGAGGGUGCAAGCGUUAAUCGGAAUUACUGGGCGUAAAGCGCACGCAGGCGGUCUGUCAAGUCGGAUGUGAAAUCCCCGGGCUCAACCUGGGAACUGCAUUCGAAACUGGCAGGCUUGAGUCUCGUAGAGGGGGGUAGAAUUCCAGGUGUAGCGGUGAAAUGCGUAGAGAUCUGGAGGAAUACCGGUGGCGAAGGCGGCCCCCUGGACGAAGACUGACGCUCAGGUGCGAAAGCGUGGGGAGCAAACAGGAUUAGAUACCCUGGUAGUCCACGCCGUAAACGAUGUCUAUUUGGAGGUUGUUCCCUUGAGGAGUGGCUUCCGGAGCUAACGCGUUAAAUAGACCGCCUGGGGAGUACGGCCGCAAGGUUAAAACUCAAAUGAAUUGACGGGGGCCCGCACAAGCGGUGGAGCAUGUGGUUUAAUUCGAUGCAACGCGAAGAACCUUACCUGGUCUUGACAUCCACAGAACUUUCCAGAGAUGGAUUGGUGCCUUCGGGAACUGUGAGACAGGUGCUGCAUGGCUGUCGUCAGCUCGUGUUGUGAAAUGUUGGGUUAAGUCCCGCAACGAGCGCAACCCUUAUCCUUUGUUGCCAGCGGUCCGGCCGGGAACUCAAAGGAGACUGCCAGUGAUAAACUGGAGGAAGGUGGGGAUGACGUCAAGUCAUCAUGGCCCUUACGACCAGGGCUACACACGUGCUACAAUGGCAUAUACAAAGAGAAGCGACCUCGCGAGAGCAAGCGGACCUCAUAAAGUAUGUCGUAGUCCGGAUUGGAGUCUGCAACUCGACUCCAUGAAGUCGGAAUCGCUAGUAAUCGUGGAUCAGAAUGCCACGGUGAAUACGUUCCCGGGCCUUGUACACACCGCCCGU
rnacentral:rRNA from 2 species